rnacentral:rRNA from 1 species
ACAGAGGGGGCAAGCGUUAUUCGGAAUUAUUGGGCGUAAAGGGCGCGUAGGCGGUUUUUUAAGUGAGAUGUGUAAUCCCCGAGCUUAACUUGGGAACUGCAUCUCAGACUGGAAGGCUAGAGUGCUGGAGAGGGUGGUAGAAUUCCACGUGUAGCGGUGAAAUGCGUAGAGGUGUGGAGGAAUACCAGUGGCGAAGGCGGCCGCCUGGGCAGUAGCUGACGCUGAGGCGCGAAAGUGUGGGGAGCAAACAG